AGGUGGUGCAUGGUUGUCGUCAGCUCGUGUCGUGAGAUGUUGGGUUAAGUCCCGCAACGAGCGCAACCCUUACCUUCAGUAGCCAGCAGGUAAAGCCGGGCACUCUGGAGAGACUGCCGGGGAUAACCCGGAGGAAGGUGGGGAUGACGUCAAAUCAUCAUGCCCCUUAUGAUUUGGGCUACACACGUGCUACAAUGGCGUAAACAGAGGGAAGCGAGCCCGCGAGGGGGAGCAAAUCCCAAAAAUAACGUCCCAGUUCGGAUUGUAGUCUGCAACCCGACUACAUGAAGCUGGAAUCGCUAGUAAUCGCGGAUCAGAAUGCCGCGGUGAAUACGUUCCCGGGUCUUGUACACACCGCCCGUCACACCAUGGGAGUCGGAAAUGCCCGAAGUCUGUGACCUAACCGCAAGGGAGGAGCAGCCGAAGGCAGGUCGGAUGACUGGGGUGAAGUCGUAACAAGGUAGCCGUAUCGGAAGGUGCGGCUGGAUCACCUC
rnacentral:rRNA from 1 species